GAUGUAACAAUUGAUGUCCUUCUUAAGGUUUAUGUCUCCAUGUAUUCGACAUGUUAUUAUAAAAAGCUUUAGUCUAUAAUUGCUGAUUUGUCAUUCUUUUACUAAAUUUCCUAUUCCCCCUAAACUUUUGACCUCUCCUUUUUUCAUACAAAAAAAAACUAAAAACAUUUGGGAUGUUGAGUUUGGGUGUAUAUAUUGUGGUGUUGCAUACCAAAUGAAUCAUUUCUCAUUCUC
ensembl:lincRNA linc-141 ncRNA